UACGUAGGGUCCGAGCGUUGUCCGGAAUUACUGGGCGUAAAGAGCUCGUAGGUGGUUUGUCGCGUUGUUCGUGAAAACUCACAGCUUAACUGUGGGCGUGCGGGCGAUACGGGCAGACUGGAGUACUGCAGGGGAGACUGGAAUUCCUGGUGUAGCGUUGGAAUGCGCAGAUAUCAGGAGGAACACCGGUGGCGAAGGCGGGUCUCUGGGCAGUAACUGACGCUGAGGAGCGAAAGCGUGGGGAGCGAACAGG
rnacentral:rRNA from 1 species